rnacentral:rRNA from 1 species
AAAUGAAUUGACGGGGGCCCGCACAAGCGGCGGAGCAUGUUGCUUAAUUCGACGCAACGCGAAGAACCUUACCAAGGUUUGACAUCACCGGUAAUCCUGCAGAGAUGUGGGGUCCUUCGGGGAUCGGUGACAGGUGGUGCAUGGCUGUCGUCAGCUCGUGUCGUGAGAUGUUGGGUUAAGUCCCGCAACGAGCGCAACCCUUGUUCCAUGUUGCCAGCACGUGAUGGUGGGGACUCAUGGGAGACUGCCGGGGUCAACUCGGAGGAAGGUGGGGAUGACGUCAAGUCAUCAUGCCCUUUAUGUCUUGGGCUGCAAACAUGCUACAAUGGCCGGUACAGUGGGCGUGCGAUGCCGUGAGGCGGAGCGAAUCCCUAAAAGCCGGUCUCAGUUCGGAUUGGGGUCUGCAACUCGACCCCAUGAAGGUGGAGUCGCUAGUAAUCGCGGAUCAGCAAUGCCGCGGUGAAUACGUUCCCGGGCCUUGUACACACCGCCCGU